AGAGUUUGAUCCUGGCUCAGAUUGAACGCUGGCGGCAUGCCUUACACAUGCAAGUCGAACGGCAGCGCGGGGCAACCUGGCGGCGAGUGGCGAACGGGUGAGUAAUAUAUCGGAACGUACCCUGGAGUGGGGGAUAACGUAGCGAAAGUUACGCUAAUACCGCAUACGAUCUAAGGAUGAAAGUGGGGGAUCGCAGGACCUCAUGCUCCUGGAGCGGCCGAUAUCUGAUUAGCUAGUUGGCGGGGUAAAAGCCCACCAAGGCAACGAUCAGUAGCUGGUCUGAGAGGACGACCAGCCACACUGGAACUGAGACACGGUCCAGACUCCUACGGGAGGCAGCAGUGGGGAAUUUUGGACAAUGGGCGCAAGCCUGAUCCAGCAAUGCCGCGUGAGUGAAGAAGGCCUUCGUU
rnacentral:rRNA from 1 species